rnacentral:rRNA from 1 species
CCUACGGGCGGCAGCAGUGAGGAAUAUUGGUCAAUGGGCGGGAGCCUGAACCAGCCAAGCCGCGUGAGGGAAGAAGGUACAGCGUAUCGUAAACCUCUUUUGUCAGGGAACAAAGGCGGGGACUAGUCCCCGGAUGAGGGUACCUGAAGAAAAAGCAUCGGCGAACUCCGUGUCAGCAGCCGCGGUAAUACGGAGGAUGCGAGCGUUAUCCGGAUUUAUUGGGUUUAAAGGGUGCGCAGGGGGCCUGUUAAGUCAGCGGGAAAAGCCCGGGGCUCAACCCCGGCGAGCCGUUGAAACUGGCAGGCUGGAGUUGGAGAGAAGUACGCGGAAUGCGAGGUGUAGGGGUGAAAUGCUUAGAUAUCGCGCAGAACACCGAUGGCGAAGGCAGCGUACCGGCUCCACACUGACGCUGAGGAACGAAAGCGUGGGUAUCGAACAGGAUUAGAUACCCCAGUAGUC